AUAUUUGUUAUAAUAGAUUACAUUCAUUACUUUAUGUUUGUAUUGGUGCCCAAAGGCAAAUAGUUCACAGGUGUUAUGGAUAAUAUAAAGCUUUCGCCAUUUAUUAAUGAUCCUUCCGCAGGUUCACCUACGGAAA
rnacentral:misc_RNA from 1 species